rnacentral:tRNA from 1 species
UGGCUGAGUUGGUAGAGCAUGGCUCCUUUCAAUGCCAAGGUUGUGGGUUCGAUUCCCAC